rnacentral:rRNA from 1 species
GACGAACGCUGGCGGCGUGCUUAACACAUGCAAGUCGAACGGAAAGGCCCUGCUUUUGUGGGGUGCUCGAUUGGCGAACGGGUGAGUAACACGUGAGUAACCUGCCCUUGACUUUGGGAUAACUUCAGGAAACUGGGGCUAAUACCGGAUAGGAGCUCCUGCUGCAUGGUGGGGGUUGGAAAGUUUCGGCGGUUGGGGAUGGACUCGCGGCUUAUCAGCUUGUUGGUGGGGUAGUGGCUUACCAAGGCUUUGACGGGUAGCCGGCCUGAGAGGGUGACCGGCCACAUUGGGACUGAGAUACGGCCCAGAAUCCUACGGGAGGCAGCAGUGGGGAAUAUUGCACAAUGGGCGGAAGCCUGAUGCAGCAACGCCGCGUGCGGGAUGACGGCCUUCGGGUUGUAAACCGCUUUGGCCUGUGACGAAGCGUGAGUGACGGUAAUGGGUAAAGAAGCACCGGCUAACUACGUG